rnacentral:lncRNA from 1 species
AGGCUAUCGCGUCACUAGUCGGCGACCUACUUCGGCACACCUGCUAUAGUCAUUAAGCCGGCAGCUGCUCUUCUCUGCGUAUCCUCGAUGUGCCUCACGUCCAUUUUCACUCAGAAGUUUGGCUUUUUGACGUAUUCCUAGACACUUCUAGAAUAUAUAUUUCGUGGCAGUCAAACAAUGCGAUUAGUUAGAAGAAUAUGCCAAAUACUCUUAUUCGUCCAGAACGUUACUUCAGAGCAGAAAUCAGUAGUAAAUGGAAACGGUUGUCGGGUAUUAGAUGAGACGAAAAAAAAAAGUGAAGAGUGGAAUUUUAUAUGCCAGAUAUUCUUCGAAAUGCACACAUAUCAGAGAUCCCCUUUUUUUCCUAAACUGUUUCAACUGGAGUUUCAAUUCUAGUACUGGCGAGAAAAUGCUUAAUGGCAGGUUUCCACGUGUAAAGUAGAAUGUUUCGGUGAGGAUUUCGUUGAGUGAAACGGGAUAAGCAGCGUCGGGCCAACGAAUGGGCGGGAAUUCGGCAGCAAGAGUAAAAGACAGAAAGUCCUCACCAUGGCACAGGCUCCGCCCGAAAAUCGAUGUCCGAAAGGACGGGAGGCAGACAUCACGCGAUGGAUUCAUUACUGGUUGUGUCCAUCCAAUCUCAUUAGAGUCGGCAUCCGCAUCGGAGUGAAUGGUGGCCUUUCCCGUUCGGACUUAAAAUACGCUUCCGGAAUUACCGGAGUGCUUUUUGUGAUUACAGGUACGAGAAAAAAAAAGUCAGAAAAUCGAUUGCUUCGAGAAUCUUUUUCGUUUUUUUCUAGACAGGUAGUAACGAAAAUUUCGGAAUCAAAAAUUCGAACCUGUGAGUGCAGGAGAAUUAUGAGUUUUAUAACUAAACGCUGAGAUCAGCGAAUGGAUUCAGGUGUUAUACAGAUAAAGUAGUAAGAAUUCUUUUAACUUAUAAAAAAAAUAACUGAUUUAUCAAUCAUUUUUCCUGGAAACCCAACUGUUUCGCAGAUAUGCUAACUGAUGACAAAUAUGUGUUUUUUUUAUUAAUACAUUUAGCUGCAGCAUAUUUUAAGGUUGAAUAAAGUCCUAUCCGCUUG